rnacentral:sRNA from 1 species
AAGAGCCAGCAGUGGGAAGAGCUCUUCUAUGCCCCAGUAGGGCUUUAUCAGGGAAACCAUGUGGCCAUCCGUUACGUUGGUGACCAAGCAGAAGCCUGGGUUAGGAAGCCGAUUGUGCUACAGGAAAUACAGCUGGGCAUGCUGUUCCUCCACAGGAGCCCCCUGGGCUCCCACGGCAACCUGAAACCUUCCAACUGCCUGAUGGAUGGUCGGCUGCAGGUGAAGCUGUCGUGAUUCGGACUGUGGGAACUCAAGCAUGGCUAAAAAUACAGAACAUAUGAUGAGACAGUGACCAACCACUCAGAGCUCUACUGGACUGCCCCAGAGCUGCUGCGGUUCCCGGAGAUGCCCUGGUCGGGUACCCCGCAAGGAGAUGUUUACAGCUUCGCCAUUCUGAUGAGGGAGCUGAUCUACCAUUGGGACCACGAGCCCUUUGAUGACCUCCACGAGGCACUGGAUGAAAUCAUCAACCGAAUCAAAGACCCUGCAGCAGCAGUCCCACUGCAACCUUCCCUGCCCGAGGAGAAGGGCAAUGAAAAGAUCGUGGCCAUGGUGAGGGUGUGUUGGGAUGAAUCUCUGGAGAAAAGACCCAGUUUCUCUUCCAUCAAGAAAACUUUACGAGAGGCCAGUCCCAGAGGCCAUGUGAGCAUACUGGCCAGUGUGAUGAGCAAGCUGGAAGUGUAUGCCAAUUACCUGGAGGAAGUGGUGCAAGAGAGGACCAGCCAGCUGACUGCAGAGAAGAGGAAGGUGGAGAAGCUUCUGUCCACCAAAGUGCCCAGCUUCACUGGAGAACAACUCCUAGCCGGAAGGUCCGUGGAACCAGAACAUUUCGAAUCUGUGACAGUCUUUUUAUCUGAUAUUGUUGGAUUCACAAAGCUGUGUUCUCUCAGCUCCCCUUUGCAAGUCGUCAAGCUCCUCCAUGACGUGUACAGUUUAUUCGAUCACAUCAUCACAACUUAUGAUGUUUAUAAGAUUGAGACCAUUGGAGACGCAUACAUGGUGGCUAGUGGACUCCCUACCGCAAUGGAAGCCAGCAUGUGGCUGAGAUUGCCACCAUGUCCCUGCACUUCCUCAGUGCCACCAUCUGCUUCCAAAUUGGGCACAUGCCGCAGGAGAAGCUCCAGCUUCGGAUUGGCCUCUACACAGGUCCUGUGGUGGCUGGUGUGCUGGGGAUUACCAUGUCCAGAUACUGUCUAUUUGGAGACACUGUCAACAUGGCAUCCAGAAUGGAGAGCAGCAGUUCACCUCUCCGGAUUCAUGUCUCUCAGAGCACUGCAAGCACCCUGGUGGCAUUGGGAGGGUACGAUUUGCUAAAGAGAGGCACCAUUCCAGUCAAGGGCAAAGGAGAGCAAACAACUUUCUGGUUGAAAGAUAAAGAAGGCUUCACUCUUCCACUCCCG